UACGAAGGGGGCUAGCGUUGCUCGGAAUCACUGGGCGUAAAGCGCACGUAGGCGGAUUGCUAAGUCAGGGGUGAAAUCCUGGAGCUCAACUCCAGAACUGCCCUUGAUACUGGCGGUCUCGAGUCCGGGAGAGGUGAGUGGAACUGCGAAUGUAGAGGUGAAAUUCGUAGAUAUUCGCAAGAACACCGGUGGCGAAGGCGGCUCUCUGGAACGGUACUGACGCUGAGACGCGAAAGCGUGGGGAGCAAACAGGG
rnacentral:rRNA from 1 species